rnacentral:rRNA from 1 species
GAUUACCUUAGUAACGGCGAGUGAAGCGGUAACAGCUCAAAUUUGAAAUCUGGGUCUUUUAGGCUCCGAGUUGUAAUUUGUAGAAGAUGCUUUGGGUGCGGCCCCGGUCUAAGUUCCUUGGAACAGGACGUCAUAGAGGGUGAGAAUCCCGUAUGUGAUCGGUGGCUUGCGCCCGUGUAAAGCUCUUUCGACGAGUCGGGUUGUUUGGGAAUGCAGCUCUAAAUGGGUGGUAAAUUUCAUCUAAAGCUAAAUAUUGGCCAGAGACCGAUAGCGCACAAGUAGAGUGAUCGAAAGAUGAAAAGCACUUUGGAAAGAGAGUUAAACAGUACGUGAAAUUGUUGAAAGGGAAGCGCUUGCAACCAGACUUGCGCGGGGUUGAUCAUCCGGGGUUCUCCCCGGUGCACUCGGCCUCGCUCAGGCCAGCAUCGGUUUUGGUGGUUGGAUAAAGGCCUUGGGAAUGUGACUUCUUUCGGGGAGUGUUAUAGCCCUCGGUGCAAUGCAGCCUACCGGGACCGAGGACCGCGCUUCGGCUAGGAUGCUGGCGUAAUGGUUGUAAGCGACCCGUCUUGAAACACGGACCAAGGAGUCUAACAUCUAUGCGAGUGUUUGGGUGUCAAACCCAUACGCGUAAUGAAAGUGAACGGAGGUGAGAACCCUUAAGGGUGCAUCAUCGACCGAUCCUGAUGUCUUCGGAUGGAUUUGAGUAAGAGCAUAGCUGUUGGGACCCGAAAGAUGGUGAACUAUGCCUGAAUAGGGUGAAGCCAGAGGAAACUCUGGUGGAGGCUCGCAGCGGUUCUGACGUGCAAAUCGAUCGUCAAAUUUGGGCAUA